rfam:Actinobacteria bacterium 13_1_20CM_3_68_9 13_1_20cm_3_scaffold_2952, whole genome shotgun sequence.
GCCGGAGUGUCGGAAUGGUAGACGAGGGCGCCUCAAAAGCGCCUGGGCGUAAGUCCGUGUGGGUUCGAGUCCCUCCUCCGGCA